GGCCCAGAYUCYUASGGRRGGCAGCAGUANGGAAUCUUCCGCAAUGGACGAAAGUCUGACGGAGCAACGCCGCKUGAGUGACGAAGGCCUUCGGGUCGUAAAGCUCUGUUGUUAGGGAAGAACAAGUACCGUUCGAAUAGGGCGGUACCUUGACGGUACCUAACCAGAAAGCCACGGCUAAYUACGUGCCAGCAGCCGCGGUAAUACGUAGGUGGCAAGCGUUGUCCGGAAUUAUUGGGCGUAAAGCGCGCGCAGGCGGUCUUUUAAGUYUGAUGUGAAAGCCCACGGCUCAACCGUGGAGGGUCAUUGGAAACUGGAGGACUUGAGUGCAGAAGAGGAGAGUGGAAUUCCACGUGUAGCGGUGAAAUGCGUAGAUAUGUGGAGGAACACCAGUGGCGAAGGCGGCUCUCUGGUCUGUAACUGACGCUGAGGCGCGAAAGCGUGGGGAGCAAACAGGAUUAGAUACCCUGGUAGUCCACGCCGUAAACGAUGAGUGCUAGGUGNUUGGGGGGUUCCACCCUCAGUGCUGAAGUUAACACAUUAAGCACUCCGCCUGGGGAGUACGACCGCAAGGUUGAAACUCAAAGGAAUUGACGGGGGCCCGCACAAGCAGUGGAGCAUGUGGUUUAAUUCGAAGCAACGCGAAGAACCUUACCAGGUCUUGACAUCCUCUGACAAUCCUGGAGACRGGACGUUCCCCUUCGGGGGACAGAGUGACAGGUGGUGCAUGGUUGUCGUCAGCUCGUGUCRUGAGAUGUUGGGUUAAGUCCCGCAACSASCGCAACCCUUGAUCUUAKUUGCCASCAUUUAGUUGGGCAMUCUAAGGUGACUGCCGG
rnacentral:rRNA from 1 species